GGGGCUGUAGCUCAGUUGGGAGAGUGCCUGGAUCGCACCCAGGAGGUCGAGGGUUCGAACCCCUUCAGCUCCACCA
rnacentral:tRNA from 1 species